rnacentral:rRNA from 1 species
UAGGGAAUCUUGCACAAUGGGCGAAAGCCUGAUGCAGCGACGCCGCGUGGGGGAUGAAGGCCUUCGGGUUGUAAACCCCUUUCAGUAGGGACGAAAAUGACGGUACCUACAGAAGAAGCUCCGGCCAACUACGUGCCAGCAGCCGCGGUAACACGUAGGGAGCAAGCGUUGUCCGGAAUUAUUGGGCGUAAAGAGCUCGUAGGUGGUUCCGUAAGUCGGAUGUGAAAAUUCAAGGCUCAACCUUGAGACGCCAUCCGAUACUGCGGUGACUUGAGUUCGGUAGAGGAGUGUGGAAUUCCUGGUGUAGCGGUGAAAUGCGCAGAUAUCAGGAGGAACACCAACAGCGAAGG